rnacentral:tRNA from 1 species
GGGGUUGUGGCUUAGAGGAAAAGCACUCGCCUAGCAUGCAUGAGGCACUGAGUUCAAUCCUCAGCACCUCUU